UUUGAGCGUAAAUGGUUAAUCUAUAAUUAUUAUAAGUUAUGAUCUUUAAAAUUAAAAAAUUUGGCGGUAUUUUAGUCUAUUCAGAGGAACCUGUUUUUUAAUCGAUAGUCCACGAUAAUUUUUACUUUAAUUUUAAAUUUAUAUAUCGUCGUUAAAUAAAAAUUUUAGGAAAAUUUAAAUUUUUAAUAUUUUUGUUAAGAAUUGAAUUCAGAUCAAGGUGUAGUUUAUGUUGAAGUUAAAAUGGGUUACAUUAUAUUUAUAUGUGGGUUUUUAAUUUAAAAUUAAAUUUAAAAUGGAUUUGAUAGUAAAUUUUUUAUUUAUAAGAAUUGAUUAAGCUCUAAAAUAUGC
rnacentral:rRNA from 1 species